UCCCCAUCCUUUCUCACAAGGACUGCGAUGGCUCCUACCCCGGCCUGAUCACUGACCGCAUGGUGUGCGCUGGAUACCUGGAGGGAGGCAUGGAUGCUUGUCAGUUUCCAGGUGAUGCAGACAGACCAGAGGAUGCUGAACACGAGAGACAGACCUAUAUUCCUAAAAGCAGUGAACUUCAUCAUGGAGUCAAAGGAAAGGACAUACCUGAAGGACACAACUGCCACACCGUUUUCUCCGAGGAGCAAGAAGAAAAUGAAAAGCUGAUAUGAGAUUAAAGACCAAUACAGGACAUUCACUUAGAAACUACACUUUUAUUGUGAACACAAGGAUCUGCACACUGAAUAGUGUGUAGUCAAACAGGACCAUCAUUUGUUUGUGAAAGUUGUAUGAACAGUAUGGGCUCACUUAUGCAGUUUGGUGGUUUUCUUCAUCAGGCCUGGUCCUCCUCCCAGAGAAAGACCGCUCCACCUCAGUCUUCUCCGGCCAAACCCACAGACAGGACAUCCAUCACACUGAGGUUCCUCCCAAAGUCUCUGCAGCUCUCUGGAUACCACGCUGUCUCAAUUGAUCCACACUGUGAAUAUGAGAGGGGAACAUUUGUGUAAUAAAUGCUUGUGUUAUAAGUGGCUCAGUUUAUUUUAAUUUUAAAUAAACAAUACUAUUACUGUAUUUUAAUGACGGAAA